rnacentral:rRNA from 1 species
AUGAACGCUGGCGGCGUGCUUAACACAUGCAAGUCGAACGAUGAAGCCCAGCUUGCUGGGUGGAUUAGUGGCGAACGGGUGAGUAACACGUGAGCAACCUGCCCCUGACUCUGGGAUAAGCGCUGGAAACGGUGUCUAAUACUGGAUAUGUCCCAUCGCCGCAUGGUGUGUGGGUAGAAAGAUUUUUCGGUUGGGGAUGGGCUCGCGUGACAUUAGCUAGUUGGUAAGGUAACGGCUUACCAAGGCGACGAUGUCUAGGGGCUCUGAGAGGAGAAUCCCCCACACUGGUACUGAGACACGGACCAGACUCCUACGGGAGGCAGCAGUAAGGAAUAUUGGUCAAUGGAGGGAACUCUGAACCAGCCAUGCCGCGUGCAGGAAGACUGCCCUAUGGGUUGUAAACUGCUUUUAUCUAGGAAUAAACCUAAGUACGUGUACUUAGCUGAAUGUACUAGAAGAAUAAGGAUCGGCUAACUCCGUGCCAGCAGCCGCGGUAAUACGGAGGAUCCAAGCGUUAUCCGGAUUUAUUGGGUUUAAAGGGUGCGUAGGUGGCCUAUUAAGUCAGGGGUGAAAGACGGCAGCUCAACUGUCGCAGUGCCUUUGAUACUGAUGGGCUUGAAUGUGGUUGAAGAUGGCGGAAUGAGACAAGUAGCGGUGAAAUGCAUAGAUAUGUCUCAGAACUCCGAUUGCGAAGGCAGCUGUCUAAGUCAUAAUUGACGCUGAUGCACGAAAGCGUGGGGAUCGAACAGGAUUAGAUACCCUGGUAGUCCACGCCCUAAACGAUGAUAACUCGAUGUUGGCGAUACACAGUCAGCGUCCUAGCGAAAGCGUUAAGUUAUCCACCUGGGGAGCACGCCCGCAAGGGUGAAACUCAAAGGAAUUGACGGGGGCCCGCACAAGCGGAGGAGCAUGUGGUUUAAUUCGAUGAUACGCGAGGAACCUUACCCGGGCUUGAAAGUUAGUGAAUGAUUCAGAGACGAAUCAGUCCUUCGGGACACGAAACUAGGUGCUGCAUGGCUGUCGUCAGCUCGUGCCGUGAGGUGUUGGGUUAAGUCCCGCAACGAGCGCAACCCCUAUGUUUAGUUGCCAGCAUUUCAGGUGGGGACUCUAAACAGACUGCCUGCGCAAGCAGAGAGGAAGGUGGGGACGACGUCAAGUCAUCAUGGCCCUUACGUCCGGGGCUACACACGUGCUACAAUGGAUGGUACAGCGGGCAGCUACCUGGUAACAGGAUGCUAAUCUCGAAAAGCCAUUCACAGUUCGGAUUGAGGUCUGCAACUCGACCUCAUGAAGUUGGAUUCGCUAGUAAUCGCGUAUCAGCAAUGACGCGGUGAAUACGUUCCCGGGCCUUGUACUCACCGC